AAGGCUUCACCAAGAGUCUUAAUGCCUUCAACGUAGGCGAUGACUGCCCAGUGUUUCCCGGGCUCUUUGAGUUCUGCUCGCGUUACACAGGCGCAUCUCUGCAAGGAGCAACCCAGCUGAACAACAAGGUGACAUAGUCCCGAGUCCUGUUCUUCCUUUCCUCUGGAUCCCUGGACUCGGGAUUUAACCCUGAUCCUGGGCUCCCAGCUUGAGGGGUGGGCAGGAAGGACUGUGACUUAGGUGUUUGUCUUUCAGAUCUGUGAUAUUGCCAUUAACUGGGCUGGUGGUCUGCACCAUGCCAAGAAGUUUGAGGUGAGUGAGGAGGUGAUGGGAAAGACAGUGGCCAUCCUAGGGUAGGUGUUUAGGAUGAUGGUGGGGGGCAGCUGGGAGGGGAAUUGCUCUUCUCUUUGUGAGACCACUGUCUUGCCAUAGGCCUCUGGCUUCUGCUAUGUCAACGACAUUGUGAUUGGCAUCCUGGAGCUGCUCAAGUACCACCCUCGGGUGCUCUACAUUGACAUUGACAUCCACC
rnacentral:sRNA from 1 species